GACCCGCAGGACGAGACGAAGGUUAACUGGAAAUAUUAUGACAUAAGCAGACAACAGAACUCUGCACCACAGUUUGAAGUUUGUAUGUAAACAGUGAUGAUAACAACACAAGCAAACAGCACAAAGGGUAAAAAGGAGAGACUGAGACCAACACUUGGCCGACUGAUCAGAGUUGAACGGAGGAAGCAGAACUCUAAAAGGACACUUCUGUUGCACCAGGCAGCAUUGGAAAUAAGCUUCUCACCUGUCAUAGAUUUUUAACAAUCUGUUUGAGAUAACGUGCGUAUCGCCCUCAGUCUAUAGUUAGAAACACCAACUGAGGAGGAGGAGAUCAUCCACACAGACACUGCUGCUGCUGCUGCUGAACAUUUCCAACAACUGAUUACAUAAACACUUGGAUUGGAGGAGGUCCUCGACUUACAUCAGAGUUCUGUUCCUACAAAUCGAUUUGGGGGAAAAAGACACUGGGAGGAUCAAACUGAAGUUGCAACUGUACCCUCAACAACAUCGCCUCUAAUGGCCCAGAAAUAGACACCAGGACUCCAUGCAACACGGCCGCGGAACAACACCUGCCAGGUUCAAACACAUGCUCACCUGUGCCAGGGAGCUGUAGACGGACAGCAGUAGGUCAACCAUGCGCAGGGCAGCAGCCUUGACAGACAGCUGGGAGCUUGAGAAGGUCUCAUGUGUCAUUGUGGCCCUUUAUCCAUGACUUGGCAACUCCUUCAUCCUCAUCGCCAUUCUGUUGGAGCUGAAGACACGAACAAGAGCGACAUUAAAGGGUUUAACUUUGGAGGCUCUGGUGGAGACACCGUGGUUACAUAAAGCCUGUGACAUACAGCACGGUGCAAGCCGCAAGCCGACUGAAUAAAGCAAGUCUCGUUAACCAUAUGUAUUAGGGCUGGCCCGAAUAGCAAUUUCUGGGCUCUGGAUAUGUGGACCCAAUUAAUGACGAAUAUCCGAAUAUUCGGCUCUUCCGGAGGACGGGGGUGAAAUGACAUUCCAUCCAUCCAUUAUCUAUACACCGCUUAAUCCUCAUUAGGGUCAUGGGGGGCUGGAGUCUAUCCCAGCUGACUGAGGGUGAAGGCAGGGGACACCUGGACAGGUCGCCAGUCCAUUGCAGGGCUGUAUAUACAGACAAACAAUCACAUUCACACCUACAGACAAUUUAGAAUAAUCAAUUAACCUCAGCAUAUUUUUGGACUGUGGGAGGAAGUCGGAGUACCCGGAGAAAACCCACGCAUGCACAGGGAGAACAUGCAAACUCCAUGCAGAAAGAUCCCAGGAAGGCCGGGACGCGAACCAGGGAUCUUCUUGCUCUAAGGUGGCAGUGCUAACCACCACACCACUGUGCAGCCCGGUGUAGUGACCUGUAUUUAUAUUAUUGUUUUCUUUAUUUAUUUACACGGUAUAGGGCAUUUAAACAAACUCAAAUACAAAUUAAAUACUAAUUUGGAAAAUGACACAUUUACCUAAUGAAUUAUAUGAACAACAUAUAUAUUACAGUUUUUCUCAGUCGCUUUGGUACAUCUCUCAGAUCAGAAUUGAAAUUCUCUACUACUUGUUCAAUGUUCACAUCAUUGUGUCACUUGUGCACAUCAAAAAAGCAGUUUCUCAUUUCUUUGAACAAGUUGCAAAUGCUUUGGUACAUCCACGCAAAUGAUUAUGUACAAUUCUCUGCUGUUUCCUACAUUAUCAGCUCCUUAUGUCAUGUUGAUCUAAAUGUAUUCUAAUGGGUCUCUGUUGAAUAGUCUCACCCUCCACAACAUUUAGGCAUUAGUUCAUCGCAUAAAUCUUUACAUUCAAAAUGGUUGAACAAGUUGUCAGAAUAUGUCAAGGAUAUUUCUAUACAUUUCCAUUAGACUUUUUUUCUAAAUCCGUCCUGAAUUGGUAAAUUGCUCCCAGGUGAAUUUUGACUUUCUCUAACGAAGGGAAAUGUGUGAAGGGUUAGGGUUGUCUGAAAUCAUUCAAAGACAAAAGAGAAGAUAUUUCAUGAUGUGGAUGAGAAUUUGUGUCCAACAGACAGGAACAUCAGGAGGUGUAGAAAGACUGCACUGGAAUUCCUACAGCACUGCAUGUACAGUUUUCCCUGAGGAGAUUGUCCUCUGUUCACAUUUCCACUUUUGUUUUUUUGUUUUUUCUUUGUACUAUGCAGUGCUGUUUUCCUUUCUGUAUCGCAACGAUGUGGUCUGUCAAUAAAUUACAACACAAACAGUAAAAGCGUAAAUGUGAA